AUUUGUAAUUUACAAGAAACAUACUACCCUUAAGAAAAUACAUAGUACACACAUAAUUUUUUAUUAGAUACACAAUUUAAUUCCAUAUUUUAUAACUAAGAAUAACAAUCUAAAAAUGAUAAAUGAUUAAGAAAUAUUUAAUUAACAUGACAGCUUGAUGAAUUUUCUUUUAAGUAUAAAACUUACUAAAAGGGUGUAUAAACUAUACUGCUGACUCAAUUUUAGUCUAUCUCUUUAAAAGAGAGAC
rnacentral:lncRNA from 1 species